AACUUUGUGUCCUUUUUUUUUUUUUUUUUUUACUUUUUACAAACAUCCAUGUCUUCCAUCAAGCGAUUUGUUUUCUGAAUAAUCGUCUUUUUAGAGUGUGAUACAGGAUAUGCAGGACUCAACUGUUCUGAUCACUGUCCCCACGGCGUGUUUGGAAGAGAAUGCCAAUCAGUAUGUCCACAAAAUUGCAAGGAUUGUCACCAUAUUACUGGGGAAUGUCUAACAGAUCAAAAUGAGUGUGAUCCGGGAUUCAGGGGACCCAACUGUUCUGAACAUUGUCCUCGCGGCGUUUUUGGACGAGAAUGUCAAUCAGCAUGUCCACGGGAGUGCAAGGAUUGUGACCAUAUUACUGGGGAAUGUCUAACAGAACAAAGGGGCAUGAACGGGGAUUUGAACCGAAGAUCUUCCGGUCACGAAGCUUUAACCACUCAUUCAUCGCGAUGGGUUGAUCCACCACGACAAAACCCGGACUUGAUUUGAACCUGGUCAGUAGGAGGAGACAGUUAAUUUUAUAUCCGGACACUUUAAAACGCUUCGAAAAAGUUGAGAAGUAGUGCUGGCUAUGUUUUCCAUUCGUUGUGUCAUAUUUCGAUUUUAAGAAAAUA